rnacentral:rRNA from 1 species
GAUGAACGCUGGCGGCGUGCCUAAUACAUGCAAGUCGAGCGAACAGACGAGGAGCUUGCUCCUCUGACGUUAGCGGCGGACGGGUGAGUAACACGUGGAUAACCUACCUAUAAGACUGGGAUAACUUCGGGAAACCGGAGCUAAUACCGGAUAAUAUAUUGAACCGCAUGGUUCAAUAGUGAAAGACGGUUUUGCUGUCACUUAUAGAUGGAUCCGCGCCGCAUUAGCUAGUUGGUAAGGUAACGGCUUACCAAGGCAACGAUGCGUAGCCGACCUGAGAGGGUGAUCGGCCACAACGGAACUGGGACCAGGUUCCAAACCCCAAGGGAGGCCGGCAGUGGGAAAUCUUCGGCAAGGGGGGAAGGCCGGCCGGGGCAACGCGGCGUGGGUGAUGAAGGUGUUCGAUUCGUAAAACUCUGUUAUAAGGGAAAAAAAAAUGUGUAAGUAACUAUGCACGUCUGGACGGUACCUAAUCAGAAAGCAACGGCUAACUACGG